GGGAGCCGGAUGAGGUGCGAGCCUCACGUCCGGUUCUGCGAGAGCCUCGGGGUGAAACUCCCCGGGGCUACUCACC
rfam:Burkholderia glathei PML1(12) contig00199, whole genome shotgun sequence.